UCUGGGUCCAACCUCCCACCCGUGUUUAUUUUACCUUGUUGCUUCGGCGGGCCCGCCUUAACUGGCCGCCGGGGGGCUUACGCCCCCGGGCCCGCGCCCGCCGAAGACACCCUCGAACUCUGUCUGAAGAUUGUAGUCUGAGUGAAAAUAUAAAUUAUUUAAAACUUUCAACAACGGAUCUCUUGGUUCCGGCAUCGAUGAAGAACGCAGCGAAAUGCGAUACGUAAUGUGAAUUGCAAAUUCAGUGAAUCAUCGAGUCUUUGAACGCACAUUGCGCCCCCUGGUAUUCCGGGGGGCAUGCCUGUCCGAGCGUCAUUGCUGCCCUCAAGCACGGCUUGUGUGUUGGGCCCCGUCCUCCGAUCCCGGGGGACGGGCCCGAAAGGCAGCGGCGGCACCGCGUCCGGUCCUCGAGCGUAUGGGGCUUUGUCACCCGCUCUGUAGGCCCGGCCGGCGCUUGCCGAUCAACCCAAAUUUUUAUCCAGGUUGACCUCGGAUCAGGUAGGGAUACCCGCUGAACUUAAGCAUAU
rnacentral:rRNA from 2 species